AUGGCAGCGGCGGCGAUGGCAGCGCACAGGGCCAGCUUCCCGCUGCGGCUGCAGCAGAUCCUGUCUGGCAGCCGCGNNNNNNNNNNNNNNNNNNNNNNNNNNNNNNNNNNNCCAGCAAAAGUUAAAGCAUUUAUUGAUCGUGUAAUCAAUAUUCCACUACAUGACAUUGCCAUACCACUAUCAGGCUUCCAUUGGGAGUUCAAUAAGGGAAAUUUUCACCAUUGGAAGCCUCUGUUUAUGCAUUUUGAUACGUAUUUCAAGACAUACAUCUCUUCUAGAAAGGAUCUUCUCUUGUCUGAUGAUAUGUCUGAGAGUGAACCGUUGACAAAAAAUACCAUCUUACAAAUUUUGAGAGUUGUGCAAAUUGUGUUGGAAAAUUGCCAGAACAAAACAACUUUUGCUGGCCUUGAGCAUUUUAAGAAUCUGUUGGCAUCAUCAGAUCCUGAGGUAGUUGUUGCGGCUUUGGAAACUCUUGCUUCAGUGGUGAAAAUAAAUCCUUCAAAACUACAUAUGAAUGGGAAACUGAUCAGCUGUGGAGCUAUAAAUAGCCAUCUUCUAUCAUUGGCCCAAGGAUGGGGUAGCAAGGAGGAAGGUCUCGGCUUGUAUUCCUGUGUUGUGGCAAAUGAGCGAAAUCAGCUGGAGGGUUUGUGCUUAUUCCCAGCAGACAUGGAGAACAAAUAUGAUGGCACACAGCAUCGUCUUGGGUCCACUCUUCAUUUUGAGUAUAAUUUGGCACCUGUCCAAGAUUCUGACCAAGCCAAUGACAAGUCAUCUAAUCUCUGCGUGAUACAUAUGCCAGACCUGCACCUUCGGAAGGAGGAUGACUUGAGCAUAUUGAAGCAAUGUAUCGACAAGUUUAAUGUGCCUCCAGAGCACCGGUUUGCCUUGUUUACAAGGAUAAGAUAUGCACAUGCUUUUAAUUCUCCGAGGACAUGCAGGCUAUAUAGCCGCAUAAGUCUCCUUUCUUUCAUUGUUCUCGUGCAAUCCAGUGAUGCCCAUGAUGAACUGACAUCGUUCUUCACAAAUGAGCCGGAGUACAUAAAUGAGUUAAUCCGGCUUGUUCGGUCAGAAGAUAUUGUUCCUGGGCCCAUUCGUGCAUUGGCUAUGCUUGCACUGGGAGCACAGUUAGCAGCAUAUGCAUCAUCUCAUGAGCGAGCUAGGAUACUGAGCGGUUCAAGUAUCAUCUCUGCUGGUGGAAACCGCAUGGUCUUGCUCAGUGUUUUGCAGAAAGCAAUAUCGUCCCUCAGUAGCCCUAAUGAUACUUCAUCUCCUUUAAUUGUUGAUGCCCUUCUACAGUUCUUUUUGCUUCAUGUGCUGUCAUCUUCGAGUUCUGGGACCACCGUUAGGGGUUCAGGGAUGGUUCCACCUCUCCUGCCUCUCCUGCAAGAUAAGGAUCCUUCCCACAUGCAUCUUGUCUGUUUGGCAGUAAAGACCCUUCAGAAGCUGAUGGAGUACAGCAGCCCUGCUGUUUCCCUGUUUAAAGAUUUGGGUGGUGUGGAACUUUUGUCUCAGAGGUUACAUGUGGAGGUGCAGCGUGUUAUUGGUGUUGCUGAAAUUACUUCAGUGCUUGCUAGUGAUACAUCGAAAUCAGAAGAUGACCAUCUGUACUCACAGAAGCGACUGAUUAAGGCUUUGCUCAAGGCAUUAGGUUCCGCUACAUAUUCUCCUGCGAAUCCUGCUCGCUCUCAAAGUUCCAAUGAUAACUCUUUGCCCAUGUCACUUUCCCUUAUAUUCCAGAAUGUUGGAAAGUUUGGUGGUGAUAUAUACUUCUCUUCAGUUACUGUUAUGAGUGAGAUAAUACAUAAGGAUCCUACAUGCUUUCCUGCUUUGAAGGAACUUGGUCUUCCUGAUGCUUUCCUGUCAUCAGUGACUGCUGGGGUGAUACCAUCUUGUAAAGCUCUUAUAUGUGUACCCAAUGGCCUGGGUGCAAUCUGCCUUAAUAACCAAGGACUUGAGUCUGUCAGGGAAACUUCAGUGCUGCGUUUUCUUGUAGAGACGUUCACUAGUAGGAAAUAUCUGAUACCAAUGAAUGAAGGUGUUGUUCUUUUAGCAAAUGCAGUGGAAGAGCUUCUUCGUCAUGUGCAGUCCCUUAGAAGUACUGGUGUUGACAUCAUCAUUGAAAUAAUCAACAAACUUUCUUGUCCUCGUGGUGAUAAAAUCACUGAAGCAGCCAGAGCUGAAGAAAAAACAGAUAUGGAAACAGAUGUUGAAGGGCGUGAUUUAGUAAGUGCCAUGGAUUCUGGCACAGAUGGAACUAAUGAUGAGCAGUUUUCUCAUUUGAGCAUUUUCCAUGUUAUGGUAUUGGUGCACAGGACAAUGGAGAAUUCAGAAACUUGCAGGCUGUUUGUAGAAAAGGGAGGUCUACAGACUCUGUUGACACUCCUGCUGCGACCUACCAUCACCCAAUCUUCUGGUGGGAUGCCUAUUGCUUUGCACAGCACUAUGGUAUUUAAGGGCUUUACUCAACAGCAUUCUACUCCACUUGCGCGUGCAUUCUGCUCCUCUUUAAAGGAGCACUUGAAGAAUGCCCUACAGGAACUUGAUACAGUUUUUAGGUCAUGUGAAGUGACUAAGCUGGAAAAAGGAGCCAUUCCAUCACUUUUUAUUGUUGAAUUUCUGCUCUUCCUAGCGGCAUCAAAAGACAACCGCUGGAUGAACGCUCUACUCUCAGAAUUUGGAGAUGUCAGCAGGGAUGUCCUGGAAGAUAUUGGAAGAGUUCACCGGGAAGUGCUUUGGCAAAUUUCACUUUUUGAUGAGAAGAAAAUAGAGCCUGAAGCUAGUUCUCCUUCAGCAAAUGAGGCCCAGCAAGUUGAUGCUGCUGUGGGCGACACUGAUGAUAACAGAUACACCUCCUUUAGGCAAUAUCUUGAUCCUCUUUUAAGGCGACGGGGCUCUGGGUGGAACAUUGAGUCUCAGGUGUCUGACCUUAUCAAUAUCUAUCGUGAUAUGGGCCGUGCAGCUACUGACUCUCACAGAGUUGGUGCUGAUAGAUACCCUAGUACAGGGUUGCCCUCAAGUUCCCAGGAUCAGCCAUCCAGUUCAUCUGAUGCAAAUGCGAAGUCAGAAGAGGACAAGAAAAGGUCUGAGCAUUCGUCCUGCUGUGACAUGAUGAGGUCACUUUCUUACCAUAUUAACCAUCUGUUUAUGGAGCUUGGGAAAGCAAUGCUGCUUACAUCUCGCCGUGAGAACAGUCCUAUAAAUCUAUCUCCAUCUGUUGUGUCUGUUGCUAGUAAUAUUGCUUCUAUCGUGUUGGAGCACCUCAAUUUUGAGGGGCAUACAAUCAGUCCAGAGAGGGAGAUAACUGUUGCUACAAAGUGCCGAUACCUUGGAAAGGUUGUUGAGUUUAUUGAUGGGAUAUUGUUGGACAGACCAGAAUCAUGUAAUCCAAUCAUGGUGAAUUCUUUUUAUUGCCGUGGUGUAAUUCAGGCUAUCUUAACCACAUUUGAAGCUACCAGCGAGUUGCUUUUCGCAAUGAACAGGCCACCCUCGUCACCUAUGGAGACUGAUAGUAAAACUGGGAAGGAAGAGAAGGAUACUGAUUGUUCAUGGAUUUAUGGCCCCCUUUCCAGCUAUGGUGCAGCUAUGGACCAUCUUGUAACAUCAUCAUUUAUUCUUUCUUCAUCGACAAGACAACUACUUGAGCAACCUAUUUUUAGUGGAACUGUCAGGUUUCCGCAAGAUGCAGAGAGAUUCAUGAAGUUGCUUCAAUCUAAAGUCUUGAAGACUGUUCUUCCCAUAUGGGCCCAUCCACAGUUUCCAGAAUGCAAUCUUGAGCUAAUCAGUUCAGUCACAUCGAUCAUGAGGCAUGUUUACUCUGGGGUAGAAGUAAAAAACAAUGUUAGCAACAUUGCUGCUCGUUUGGCUGGUCCACCCCCUGACGAGAAUGCAAUUUCCCUGAUUAUAGAGAUGGGCUUUUCUCGUGCCAGAGCUGAAGAAGCAUUAAGACAGGUUGGAACAAAUAGCGUUGAGAUUGCGACUGAUUGGUUGUUCUCACACCCGGAGGAACCACCAGAGGAUGAUGAACUUGCUCGAGCUCUUGCUAUGUCUCUAGGGAAUUCUGAUACACCUGUUCAAGAGGAAGAUGACAGAACUAAUGAUCUUGAGCUCGAGGAAGUAAAUGUUCAGCUCACUUCCAUGGAUGAAGUAUUAUCUUCAUGUCUUAGGCUGCUACAGGCAAAGGAAACAUUAGCUUUUCCUGUCCGGGAUAUGCUUGUGACUAUCAGCUCACAGAAUGACGGCCAAAACCGUGUGAAGGUGCUUACAUAUUUGAUUGAUCAUCUGAAGCAAUGUCUUGUGGCAUCUGAUCCUUUAAAGAACACUGCACUAUCUGCUUUUUUCCAUGUUCUUGCUUUGAUUCUCCAUGGAGAUACCGCUGCUCGUGAAGUUGCCUCAAAGGCUGGUCUUGUCAAGGUUGUUUUGAAUCUGCUGUGCAGCUGGGAGUUGGAGCCAAGGGAAGGUCAAACAACCAAGGUUCCCAAUUGGGUUACUUCCUGUUUCCUUUCUGUUGAUAGAAUGCUCCAGUUGGAACCCAAGUUGCCAGAUGUUACUGAGCUUGAUGUUCUCAAAAAGGAUAAUUCACCUACACAAACAUCUGUUGUGAUUGAUGACAGCAAGAAGAAGGAUUCAGAAUCUUCCUCAAGUGUAGGGUUAUUGGACUUGGAGGACCAGGAGCAACUUUUGAGGAUAUGCUGUAAAUGCAUUCAGAAGCAGUUGCCUUCCGGUACAAUGCAUGCUAUUCUUCAGUUGUGUGCUACACUGACGAAAGUCCAUGUGGCUGCUAUCAGUUUUCUUGAGUCUGGUGGCCUACAUGCGUUGCUAAGUUUGCCGACAAGUAGCUUGUUUUCUGGAUUCAACAGUGUGGUUUCUACAAUUAUCCGUCAUAUUUUGGAGGAUCCCCAUACUCUUCAGCAAGCUAUGGAAUUAGAGAUACGCCAUAGUCUUGUCACGGCUGCUAAUCGGCAUGCAAAUCCUAGGGUUACACCACGUAAUUUUGUUCAGAAUUUGGCGUUUGUUGUAUACAGGGACCCAGUGAUAUUUAUGAAAGCUGCCCAAGCUGUGUGCCAGAUUGAGAUGGUUGGAGAUAGACCGUAUGUUGUUCUAUUGAAGGACCGUGAGAAGGAAAAGAGCAAGGAAAAAGAGAAGGAUAAGCUGGUUGAUAAGGAUAAAUCAUCAGGUGUUGCCACAAAGAUAACAUCAGGGGACAUGGUUAUGGCAUCUCCUGUAAGUGCCAAAGGGAAACAAUCUGAUUUGAGUGCAAGGAAUAUGAAAUCUCAUCGCAAGCCACCACAAACCUUUGUCACUGUUAUUGAGCAUCUAUUAGAUCUAGUAAUGUCCUUUGUCCCACCACAAAGAGCUGAGGACCAAUCUGAUGGUUCGUCAUCCAUGGACAUGGAUAUUGACUCUAGUUCAGCAAAAGGUAAAGGGAAGGCCGUUGCUGUCACACAUGAAGAGUCCAAGCAAGCAAUCCAAGAUGCUACUGCAUGUCUGGCUAAAAACGCAUUUGUCCUAAAGCUGCUCACAGAUGUACUAUUAACUUAUGCUUCUUCCGUUCAAGUUGUUCUUCGCCAUGAUGCUGAGUUGAGCAGCACGCGAGGUCCUACUCGGACCAGUGGUGGAAUAUUUAAUCAUAUAUUGCAGCAUUUGCUUCCACAUGCUACAAAACAAAAGAAAGAAAGAAAGCCUGAUGGUGAUUGGAGGUACAAAUUGGCUACAAGGGGUAAUCAGUUUUUAGUGGCUUCAUCUAUUCGUUCUUCAGAAGGACGAAAAAGGAUCUGUUCUGAAAUCUGCAGUAUAUUUGUUGAGUUCACAGACAAUACUGGUUGCAAACCUCCAAUGUUGAGGAUGGAUGCUUAUGUUGAUUUGCUCAAUGAUAUUCUGUCAGCUCGCUCACCAACGGGCUCGUCACUUUCAGCAGAAUCUGUAGUUACAUUUGUUGAGGUUGGCCUUGUCCAGUGUUUAACGAAAACCCUUCAGGUUCUUGAUUUGGAUCAUCCUGAUUCAGCAAAGAUUGUAACUGGUAUUGUCAAGGCUCUUGAAGUGGUUACUAAGGAACACGUUCAUUUAGCUGAUUUUAAUGCUAAAGGGGAGAACUCAUCAAAGACUGUUUUGGAGCAGAACAAUGUAGAUUCAUCAUCAAAUAGGUUCCAGGUUCUUGACACAACUUCUCAACCAACUGCAAUGGUAACUGAUCACAGGGAAACUUUCAAUGCUGUUCAUGCUUCAAGAAGUUCAGAUUCAGUGGCAGAUGAGAUGGAUCAUGACCGUGAUAUAGAUGGAGGUUUUGCCCGUGAUGGUGAAGAUGAUUUUAUGCAUGAGAUUGCUGAAGACAGAACAGGAAAUGAGUCCACAAUGGAUAUUCGGUUUGAUAUCCCACGUAAUAGAGAGGAUGAUAUGGCUGAAGAUGAAGAUGACAGUGAUGAAGAUAUGUCAGGAGAUGAUGGUGAGGAGGUUGAUGAAGAUGAUGAUGAUGAGGAAAAUAACAACCUGGAGGAAGACGAUGCCCAUCAGAGAUCUCAUGCUGACACGGAUCAGGAUGACCGUGAGAUUGAUGAAGAAGAAUUUGAUGAAGAUCUUCUAGAAGAAGAAGAUGAUGAUGAUGAGGACGAGGAGGGAGUAAUCCUUCGCCUAGAGGAGGGGAUCAAUGGAAUUAAUGUGUUUGACCAUAUUGAGGUUUUUGGGGGGAGCAACAAUGUUUCUGGGGAUACACUGCGUGUAAUGCCAUUGGACAUUUUUGGCACAAGACGGCAAGGCCGUAGUACAUCUAUAUACAAUCUUCUUGGGAGAGCAAGUGACCAAGGUGUACUUGACCACCCACUCUUGGAGGAACCUUCGAUGUUACUUCCACAACAGAGGCAACCAGAAAAUUUAGUUGAGAUGGCUUUCUCUGAUCGGAAUCAUGAAAAUAGUUCUUCCCGUUUGGACGCUAUAUUCAGAAGCUUGCGAAGUGGACGGAAUGGACACCGAUUUAAUAUGUGGCUGGAUGAUGGCCCCCAACGCAAUGGAUCUGCUGCCCCUACAGUACCUGAAGGCAUUGAAGAACUUCUGCUCUCUCAGUUGAGAAGGCCUAUGGCUGAACAUCCUGAUGAGCAGAGCACACCUGCUGUUGAUGCUCAAGUAAACGAUCCUCCCAGUAAUUUUCAUGGGCCAGAAACUGAUGCAAGGGAAGGGUCAGCAGAACAAAAUGAAAAUAAUGAAAACGUUGAUAUUCCUGCAGUAAGGUCUGAGGUGGAUGGCUCUGCAAGUGCUGGUCCUGCACCUCCUCACAGUGAUGAACUUCAAAGAGAUGCAUCCAAUGCAAGUGAGCAUGUCGCAGAUAUGCAAUAUGAACGUAGUGACACGGCUGUCCGUGAUGUGGAAGCAGUAAGCCAAGCAAGCAGUGGUAGUGGUGCUACUCUAGGGGAAAGCCUCAGAAGUUUAGAUGUUGAAAUUGGAAGUGUUGAAGGACAUGAUGAUGGUGACCGGCAUGGGGCUUCAGACAGGACACCUCUGGGUGAUGUACAGGCAGCUACUCGAUCGCGGAGGCCUUCUGGAAAUGCAGUACCAGUCAGCAGCAGGGACAUAUCAUUGGAGAGUGUUAGGGAGAUCCCCCCAAACACAGUCCAGGAAUCUGAUCAGAAUGCCAGUGAGGGGGAUCAGGAGCCUAACAGGGCUACUGGGACUGACUCAAUAGAUCCUACAUUUUUGGAGGCUCUUCCAGAGGAUUUGCGGGCUGAAGUUCUUUCUUCACGACAAAAUCAAGUGACUCAGACUUCCAGUGAGCAGCCUCAGCACGAUGCGGACAUUGAUCCUGAAUUCCUUGCUGCACUGCCACCUGAUAUACGUGAAGAGGUUCUAGCUCAACAACGUGCCCAACGGUUGCAACAACAGUCUCAAGAGCUUGAAGGACAACCAGUUGAAAUGGAUGCUGUAUCAAUUAUUGCAACCUUCCCUUCGGAAAUACGGGAGGAGGUGCUUUUGACGUCUCCCGAUACUCUACUUGCUACAUUGACACCUGCACUAGUUGCUGAAGCCAACAUGUUGCGUGAGAGAUUUGCUCAUCGAUAUCACAGCGGUUCACUAUUUGGCAUGAACUCCAGGAACAGGAGGGGAGAGUCCUCUCGUCGUGGUGAUAUCAUUGGUUCAGGCCUUGAUAGAAAUACUGGUGAUUCGUCCCGUCAAACGGCCAGCAAGUUAAUUGAAACUGUAGGGACUCCUCUUGUUGACAAGGAUGCUCUCAAUGCUCUUAUACGAUUACUUCGAGUUGUCCAGCCUAUAUACAAGGGCCAGCUGCAGAGGCUUCUCUUGAACCUUUGUGCUCACCGGGAAAGCAGAAAGUCGCUGGUUCAAAUUCUGUUGGACAUGCUUAUGCUUGAUCUGCAGGGCUCUUCUAAGAAAUCAAUUGAUGCAACAGAGCCGUCAUUUAGGCUAUAUGGGUGCCAUGCAAAUAUCACAUAUUCACGCCCUCAAUCCUCAGAUGGUGUGCCACCACUGGUUUCCCGCCGUGUGCUGGAAACUCUGACAUACCUGGCAAGAAAUCAUCCAAAUGUGGCUAAGCUCUUACUCUUUCUUCAGUUCCCCUGCCCGCCCACCUGCCAUACUGAAACACUUGACCAGAGGCGUGGAAAGGCUGUCCUUGUGGAAGACGGGGAACAACAGAGUGCUUUUGCACUCGUUCUACUUUUGACUCUAUUAAAUCAGCCUCUUUAUAUGAGAAGUGUAGCUCAUCUUGAACAGUUACUCAAUCUUCUGGAAGUUGUCAUGCUUAAUGCCGAGAAUGAAGUAAAUCAAGCUAAGUUGGAAAGUUCAGCUGAGAGACCGUCUGGACCUGAGAAUGCAACACAAGAUGCCCUAGAGGAUGCCAGUGUUGCUGGAUCAUCUGGAGUGAAGCCCAAUGCCGAUGAUAGUGGUAAAUCAUCCGCAGAUAAUAUAAGUGACCUGCAAGCUGUUUUGCAUAGCCUUCCGCAAGCCGAGCUUCGGUUGCUAUGUUCAUUGCUUGCGCAUGAUGGGUUAUCAGACAAUGCAUAUCUCCUUGUAGCAGAAGUUCUGAAAAAGAUUGUAGCUUUGGCUCCUUUCAUCUGUUGCCAUUUCAUAAAUGAGCUUUCACGUUCGAUGCAAAAUUUGACUGUUUGUGCCAUGAACGAGCUUCACUUGUAUGAAGAUUCUGAAAAGGCAAUUCUGAGCACAUCAUCAGCCAACGGCAUGGCAGUUCUAAGAGUUGUGCAGGCCUUGAGUUCUCUUGUCACAUCUCUGCAAGAGAGAAAAGAUCCAGAGCUUCUUGCAGAGAAGGACCAUUCAGAUGCGCUGUCCCAGAUUUCUGAUAUUAACACAGCAUUGGAUGCGUUGUGGUUGGAGCUAAGCAACUGCAUAAGCAAAAUAGAGAGCUCUUCAGAAUAUACAUCAAAUUUGAGUCCAACUUCUGCAAAUGCAACUAGAGUAUCAACUGGUGUAGCACCUCCCUUGCCAGCUGGAACCCAGAAUAUAUUACCGUACAUAGAAUCCUUUUUUGUGACAUGCGAGAAGUUACGUCCAGGACAACCUGAUGCUGUUCAAGAGCCUUCAACAUCUGAUAUGGAGGAUGCUUCAACAUCUAGUAGUGGGCAAAAAUCAUCUGCAAGCCAUACCAGUCUUGAUGAGAAGCACACUGCUUUUGUUAAAUUCUCGGAGAAACACAGAAGAUUGUUAAAUGCUUUUAUCCGACAAAACUCUGGGUUGCUAGAAAAAUCAUUCUCUCUGAUGUUGAAGGUCCCCCGCUUGAUUGAUUUUGACAACAAACGUGCAUAUUUCCGGUCUAAAAUUAAGCAUCAGCAUGACCAUCAUCACAGUCCUGUUAGAAUUUCUGUCCGACGGGCGUACAUUUUGGAAGACUCCUAUAAUCAGCUUAGGAUGCGCUCACCCCAGGACUUGAAGGGUAGACUCACUGUUCAUUUCCAAGGAGAAGAAGGCAUUGAUGCCGGUGGACUCACAAGAGAGUGGUAUCAGUUACUAUCACGAGUGAUUUUUGACAAGGGAGCCCUUCUAUUCACGACUGUUGGAAAUGACUUGACAUUUCAACCAAACCCUAACUCUGUGUAUCAGACUGAACACCUCUCAUAUUUCAAAUUUGUUGGACGAGUGGUUGGAAAAGCGCUCUUUGAUGCCCAACUUUUGGAUGCCCAUUUCACUAGAUCUUUCUACAAGCACAUACUUGGUGCCAAGGUUACUUACCAUGAUAUUGAAGCCAUUGAUCCUGCUUACUACAGAAACCUUAAGUGGAUGCUUGAGAACGACAUAAGUGAUGUCCUGGACCUCACAUUUAGCAUGGAUNNNNNNNNNNNNNNNNNNNNNNNNNNNNNNNNNNNNNNNGUAACUGAUUGUGAGUUGAUUCCUGGAGGGCGUAACAUUAGGGUCACUGAGGAGAACAAGCAUGAAUAUGUGGAUAGGGUAGCAGAGCAUCGUUUAACCACUGCAAUUAGGCCUCAGAUUAAUGCUUUCAUGGAAGGAUUUAAUGAACUCAUUCCUCGCGAGCUAAUAUCCAUUUUUAACGACAAAGAGUUUGAACUGCUAAUCAGUGGACUCCCUGAUAUUGACUUGGACGACCUAAAGGCAAAUACCGAGUAUUCUGGCUACAGCAUAGCUUCUCCAGUUAUUCAAUGGUUCUGGGAAAUUGUACAAGGUUUCAGCAAGGAGGACAAAGCUCGAUUUCUCCAGUUCGUUACUGGCACUUCAAAGGUACCUUUGGAGGGUUUCAGUGCGCUCCAAGGAAUAUCUGGGCCACAAAGGUUCCAGAUACACAAGGCAUACGGCAGCACCAACCAUCUGCCCUCAGCUCAUACUUGCUUUAACCAACUGGACUUGCCUGAAUACACAUCCAAAGACCAGCUGCAGGAGAGGUUGCUAUUGGCUAUUCAUGAGGCAAAUGAAGGGUUUGGAUUUGGUUAA
rnacentral:rRNA from 1 species